rnacentral:misc_RNA from 1 species
CACCACUGCAAGAGGGGAAGUUGCUACUGUGAUGAAUUCUGCCAUGUGGCACCAGACUGCCACCCAGACCACAGUGUCCUCUGCAACCCUGCUUCUCAGAUGACCAAGAUGGUGCUGCAGAUGGUGCUGAGGAUGGAGAACCCACCAAGCCCCGCUAGGAGCCACCUAGACUGGAUGCAGAGCAUGGCUAAAACCUUUGAAGAAGAAUUUAUUAUAUCCUACAAACCUGGGAGGCAGAGGUUGCAGUGAGCCAAGAUUGGGCCAUCGCACUCCAGCCUGGGCAAUAAGAAUGAAACUCUGUCUCAAAAAAAACAAAAGUUGGCCAGGGCUGGGCGUGGUGGCUCACACCUGUAAUCCCAGCACUUUGGGGGGCUAAAGCAGGUGGAUCACCUGAGGUCAGAAGUACGAGACCAUCAUGGCUAAUAUGGUGAAACCCCAUCUCUAGUCAAAG